UAUGUGAUCGUCUCUCGCAUAUCAAUAAGCGGAGGAAAAGGAAACUAACAAGGAUUCCCCUAGUAACGGCGAGUGAAGCGGGAAGAGCUCAAAUUUGAAAUCUUAAAGGGUUUCCCUUUACGAAUUGUAGUUUAAAGAAGUGCUUUUCUGUUGAGGUUUUGGUAAAAGUUCUUUGGAAUAGGACAUCAUAGAGGGUGAGAAUCCCGUAUUUGACCUUUACUUUCAACUUUGUGAUACACUUUCAAAGAGUCGGAUUGUUUGGGAAUGCAGUCCAAAAUGGGUGGUAAAUUUCAUCUAAAGCUAAAUAUUGGCGAGAGACCGAUAGCGAACAAGUACCGUGAGGGAAAGAUGAAAAGAACUUUGAAAAGAGAGUUAAACAGUACGUGAAAUUGUCAAAAGGGAAGCGUUUGACACCAGUGUUGUUUUUCUGAAAAGUCAAUUAAAGAACUGUUUAUGCUAAGUUGUUUAGACUUUAUCAGCUAACUGUCUAGUUUUGAGCUUUUCUUUAGUGCACUUUUCAGUUAACAAGUCAACAUCAAUUUCUUUUGCUGUAAAAAAGCUUGAGGAAGGUGGCUUGAGAUUCGUCUUAAGUGUUUAUAGCCUCUUGCCUAUGCAGUCGGAGAGAUUGAGGAUCUGCAGCGUAGAUCCUUCGGGGCUAAAUGCAUUUGUGCUAAGUUAUAGCAUUUUAUAGACAACUUGUUGACUAUGAUUUGUCUUGUAGCUUACUCGCUUAUGUUAUUUUACCUACGCUUAGGAUGUUGAUAUCGCGCUCUCACU
rnacentral:rRNA from 1 species